AACCCUACGCCGGGCAGCGAGCGACAGCGUCACGGCCGACAUCACGUGACAUCACUGAGAAGUCACGUCAGUACCCUGUCAGACGCCGGAAGUAAACCAAGAUGUGGGGAUUCUCGAGGAAGUUUAAGAGCAAAAUGAGGAACGUGAGCGUCGAGACGCGGGUCAGGCCCGACGACGCUGCCUCGGAGGACAGUCUCGUCCAGGAGAAUGCCAGUGCUGAGAUCUCUUGACGCAACAACUAGCACCUCGCUAAAGAGCACUGGGAUCAGCAUCCAAAUGAGGUAAUUUACGAUAACCCAAACAAUGCGGAAAAUGGCUAUCGCUUUGAAAGUGUCUGGAUGUAUCCUUACAUAAUGCAUGUCCAGAGAAAUCGCCGCAACGUACGAGGAAUAAAAUAUCAGUGUUGUGACUCCCUCUCGGGAAAAGACUGUCCAUGACCAGCUAACUUUUGUAGCUUCUCUUUGCCCGACGGUGUCUUUACAUUCCGAUAAAAUCUUACACAGUGCUCUACCGUUCAGAAUGAGUGUUAUCUCACUUAUUAAAGUAGAAACUCCUGUGGUCAAAAAGAUUAAAUAGUCUAUCAGAAUUCCUACGUCAGGAAUUUCAUUAUUAAAUAGAAUUAAAAUAUAGGAUACCGUGAUGGUUGCAUUGAGUGUUUUCAUAAAAAUUGUCCACAAUAAAAAUGGGAUGCUGAUCUCCACCACGUCAGCCUCGGCGGCGGAGGGCGACGACUUGAAACAGAAGAGUCCCAGGCACCGAAGAGCCCAGACGAGACACUGGAGGAGCGAGGGCAGCCGGGUGUGACGGGGCUUAGCUGCCAUAGCUACUGGUCUGGUGUGGCUGGCCGUCGACAGGGCUAUGUGAGGCACUGCGAGGAGUCUGUCAGGGCCUGCCUCGGGCGUCGGCGGUGAGGUGACUGCCGCAGGCUGUGUACGAAGGGCGGGGCCGCUAUGCCAAUCAAUCCAUCAAUAAUGCUCUGUCCCAACACUGGAAGAGUCUGCUUGAUGAUCUUCACCACUUAGUAUGAUCACAACAUUAUUUUUUUAAUCAAGUACUGGCCAUUUUAAGCAAUUUGUUUGUUGUAUCAUUUUAACGUUUUAGUUUUUAUUCGUGAUAUUGUUGGCCGUUCAUUUACUUUAUUCGUUUUGUUCACCUAUUCCAGCACGACACCCAUCGUCGAGCCGCCUCCUCACACCUCCUGCAGACAAUCACAAAUUAACAUCUCCACUUUAUAUUUAUAUGUCAAACCUUAUUCCCUCUUCAAAUGAUAACAAACGGACUUAAUAUUUCUUCUUUAUUGAUUUCAUGAGAACAGUCUUAUUUUUUUUUUCAUCACUUGAUUCAAACUGUUUCACUCUUCAUCCGUUUAUAGUGAACUGAAUUUUAGAAGAAAACUGAAAACUGAAAAUUCAGAUGUUCUAAAACAAAAAACUGAAAAAUUAUUGGCAAAGAAAGGAAAUUAAAAACAAAAAUGUCGGAAAUUAGAAAAGGAAGGGCGAAUAGAACAGAAAAUUGAAAUUGAAGAAAAAUGUAAAAGAAGAAAAUAAAGAAUAAAAGAUAAAAAAAAACGGUAAUGGAGGAGAAAACGGAAAAAAAAUAAAAAAAAAGGAAAUAACGAUAGACAAUAAAAACCGAAAAUGAAACAAAAACUAUUGGAAAGAAAACAAAAUGGAGAAUAUAAAGAAAAACACGAAAAGAAAGCAACGAACAGCGGAAAAGAAAGCAUGAAAUAAAAAAAGAUAAAAAAGGAAAACCGAUAAGAAAACGCCAGAUUCAUGAAAAAGAAUAUUUAUUAAAGGAAAAGUAAUUACAUGUACUAAAAAUAAAUAAAUAAAGUUAACGAAUAAUAUAACCUGCAUAAUUUUUGGGGUCUAGAACCACUAGUGAAAAAAAAAAAAAGCUAACAACAACAACAAAAAAAAAAAAAAUGGCCGAAAGGAAUAAUUAUAUAGACAGUGGCAGUCAUCAUCAGAGUUCAGUCGUUCGUCAUCGUUAUACUUUUAAGAAAAAGCUUCAAAUGAGUGUUACGAAAAAUUAAAUCCAUUAACUCGCAGGAGAAGGCUGGCUGGUACAUUCCAAUACCCCGCCUCCCCCCUCCCUCUCUCUCCCGCUCGGUUAUUAAUAGAAAAAAAAAACUUGGCGAAAACGAUAAGAACGUAAUACAUCAAAGUGCUAAGGAUAAACGAGAGGAGCUUAAACGUAUAAUCAUCCAGUCAUUUAGUCAGACAGUCUGCCGGUCAGCUAGUUAAUCAAUCAGUCAGCCAGUCAGUCAGUUUGCCAGCCAGUCAGCCAGAAAGCCACUCAUUCAGAAAGCCACUCAGUCAGUUAUCCAGUCAGUUACGUCAGUCAGUCAGCAGGCCAGCCAUCUGUCCACCUCCAGGAUCAAGAU